rnacentral:rRNA from 1 species
AAUUGCAGAAUCCCGCGAACCAUCGAGUCUUUGAACGCAAGUUGCGCCCGAGGCCUCCUGGCCGAGGGCACGUCUGCCUGGGUGUCACGCAUCGUCGCCCCCGAACCCCCUCGUCUCGCGAGGGGCGGGCGCGGAAACUGGCCUCCCGCGCGCUCUCCGCUCGCGGUUGGCCCAAAAUCGAGCCGUGGGCGACGGUCGCCACGACGAGCGGUGGUUGAGAGACCCUCGAAAGCGGUCGUGCGCGCGCCCCGUCGCCCCUCGGGAUCUCCUGGACCCUCGAGCGUCCGGCCUUCGCGGACGCUCUCGUUGCGACCCCAGGUCAGGCGGGACUACCCGCUGAGUUUA